rnacentral:tRNA from 2 species
GGCUGGAUGGUGAAGUGGUUAACACGCCAGAUUUAGGCGACCGCGCCCGGACGCGCGGAGUACACUUAAGCGGCUCUCUUUCUAGGGACUCUGGUAUGCGUGGGUUCGAACCCCACUCUAGUCA